rnacentral:rRNA from 1 species
AUUGAACGCUGGCAGCAGGCCUAACACAUGCAAGUCGAAAGAGUGGCGGACGGGUGAGUAAUGUCUGGGAAACUGCCCGAUGGAGGGGGAUAACUACUGGAAACGGUAGCUAAUACCGCAUACCAUCGGAUGAGACCAGAUGGGAUUGGCUAGUAGGUGUGGUAACGGCUCACCUAGGCGACGAUCCCUAGCUGGUCUGAGAGGAUGACCAGCCACACGGGAACUGAGACACGGUCCAGACUCCUACGGGAGGCAGCAGUGGGUAAUAUUGCACAAUGGGCGCAAGCCUGAUGCAGCCAUGCCGCGUGUAUGACGAAGGCCUUCGGUUUGUAAAGUACUUUCAGCGAGGAGGCGUUACUCGCAGAAGAAGCACCGGCUAACUCCGUGCCAGCCGCCGCGGUAAUUC